rnacentral:lncRNA from 1 species
AUGGGUGAGGUUCAGGGCCCGCAUGCCACAAGAGGACAUUGUCCAGCAGAGACGGGCACAUCCCACUCCUCCAGACAGGGCCCACGAGAGCGGAAACCGACGUGUGAACCCAGGAGCAGGGAGACACGCUGCUGGCAGGGCCCCUCCCGCACCCAGGACAAGCUGGUCCUCCAACAUUUGAGUGGGAUUUUUCAGGAACGCCACUCGGGCACAGCUUGGCCCAGGAGUGGGCCCUGCUCCCUAAAAGGGGCCGCAGCUGUGUGUGUGAGCCCCGGAGAAGGGCUCUGUGUGUGUUUGGGUGCAGCUGUCGAUUUGCCAGGCUUCCCAGCUUUGAGGCCAGGAGGACUCACACAGAGUUGCCCUCACAGCUGCCCAGCCCUGGCGGGGGCUCCCACACCUCUCCUUACACACUGGUCCAUUGGGAUCAUGUGGCAUGUGAGUCAGGCGGGGUACUGGGCUCCCGCAAGGAGGGUAGAGCAGGCUAGGAGACCCCGGACAGAGGCCAAGUCACUGAGCCACACUGCCCUGUCAUUCAUCUCUGCACAUCCUUGGGCAGCUCCCUGGAAGGUCCCGAGCCGGUCGCAGGGUACAGGGGUGGCCACAGUCCCACGGGAAAGGCUGUGGCUGGAACCCUCCUCGGGACUGCUGGAAUGCAACAGUCAGCCCAGGCCUGCUGAGGUUACCAACAGAAUUUCCUGGGAAUUCCUGGACAGUUACGCCGGGCGAAACGGAGGUCAGCUCAGCCCAGGGGUCAGAGCCGGGGGGCCCAGGGGUCAGAGCUGGGGGGUCCAGGGUUUCCCUACCAGGCCUGGGGAGAUAGCAAGAGGCCAGGCCUGGUGGGCAAGGAACGGGCUGGGUCUGAGGCUGCCCAGAAGCUCCGAGACCUCUACCGACAUUCAGGCCGCUUGGCCGGGCAGCCAGGAGGGCAUGCCAUCAGACAGGCGGGGCUGGAGACCAAGCAAGCUCUCUCGCAGUUGCUCACGGCAGGGUCCCCGGCCACCCAGGAAUGGAUGGCUGCCCAUGACGUGA